rnacentral:rRNA from 1 species
AAACUGGAGAUGGCGACCGGCGCACGGGUGAGUAACACGUAUCCAACCUGCCGAUAACUCGGGGAUAGCCUUUCGAAAGAAAGAUUAAUACCCGAUGGCAUAAUAGAACCGCAUGGUUUGAUUAUUAAAGAAUUUCGGUCAUCGAUGGGGAUGCGUUCCAUUAGGUUGUUGGCGGGUAACGGCCCACCAAGCCUUCGAUGGAUAGGGGUUCUGAGAGGAAGGUCCCCCACAUUGGAACUGAGACACGGUCCAAACUCCUACGGGAGGCAGCAUG